rnacentral:tRNA from 1 species
ACCUGGGUGGCUCAGUCGGUUAAGCGUCUGACUUCAGCUCAGGUCAUGACCUUGCGGUUCGUGGGUUCAAGCCCCAUGUCAGGCU